CAAGGCCUGUGAUGAUCUAAGUAUUUGCCUACAUUGUCUGAUUGCUCUAAUUGAAGAUUCUUUUAAACCAAGUCUGAGGCUUUG